AGCACCGGCUAACUCCGUGCCAGCAGCCGCGGUAAUACGGAGGGUGCAAGCGUUAAUCGGAAUUACUGGGCGUAAAGCGCACGCAGGCGGUCUGUCAAGUCGGAUGUGAAAUCCCCGGGCUCAACCUGGGAACUGCAUUCGAAACUGGCAGGCUUGAGUCUUGUAGAGGGGGGUAGAAUUCCAGGUGUAGCGGUGAAAUGCGUAGAGAUCUGGAGGAAUACCGGUGGCGAAGGCGGCCCCCUGGACAAAGACUGACGCUCAGGUGCGAAAGCGUGGGGAGCAAACAGGAUU
rnacentral:rRNA from 1 species